rnacentral:miRNA from 10 species
GAGAGGAUUUUGUGAGCCAAAGUGUGACUAAAUGUGAGCAUUGGUGGUUCAGUGGUAGAAUUCUCGCCUGUCA